AUGAGCCUCUCCCACCGCCGCCCCCACCUGCCGCCCGCCGCGCCGCCUGCGGGGGACCCCUACUACCACCUGUACGCGCCGCAGCCGCUCCAGCACGCGGACCCGCGGCAGGGCGUCGUCACGCUCUUCGUCGCCGGCCUCCCCGACGACGUCAAGCCCCGCGAGAUCCACAACCUCUUCUCCCGCCGCCCCGGCUUCGACCACUGCCUNNNNNNNNNNNNNNNNNNNNNNNNNNNNGCUGUUGCAUUUGUGUCGUUCUUCACCCAUCACGCUGCCUUGGCAGCAAUGGCUUCGUUAAAUGGAUCUGUUUUUGAUCCUGAUAACGGUGAUUGCUUGCACAUUGAGCUAGCUAAGUCAAAUUCACGCAAACGCCAUGGAGGUGGUGGUGAGGUCUACAGAGUAAUUGAUAAGCGAGUUCGAACAGAGGAAAAUUCUGACAAUGAUAACAACCGUGAUGAAGGUGAUGAUGAUGUAUCAGGCAAUGAUGAUGGACAGGAUGGAUCUGAUGGACCAUCGGAUGAAGAAAAUGAUAAUUCCAGCGACAAGAACGAGCUACCCACGGACCAAAGUGGUGAACCAGGGAUCAAGCAGCAGAAGGGGCGUUCUUCUUCAAAUGAUCAGCCAGACAAAAUUCCACCUUGCUCUACUUUAUUUCUUUCAAAUUUGGGACAAACAUGUACAGAGAAGGAGCUAGAGGAACUUUUGUCUAAGCAACCUGGAUUUCACGUGCUUAAAAUGCGUCGCCGCGGUGGACUACCUGCAGCGUUUGCUGAUUUUACAGAUAUCGAGUCAUCCGCAGCUGCUAUGGAGAACCUCAAAGGCACCAUCCUCUCUUCUUCCGAUAGCGAUGGCCUGCAAAUUGAGUACGCCAGGUCAAAGAUGAGGAAGAGCUAG
rnacentral:rRNA from 1 species